UACGUAGGGUCCGAGCGUUGUCCGGAGUUACUGGGCGUAAAGGGCGCGUAGGCGGCCCGUCAAGUCCCGUGUGAAAGCCCCCGGCUCAACCGGGGAACUGCACGGGAAACUAGCAGGCUUGAGUUCGGGAGAGGGAAGCGGAAUUUCGGGUGUAGCGGUGAAAUGCGCAGAUAUCCGAAGGAACACCGGUGGCGAAGGCGGCUUCCUGGACCGACACUGACGCUGAGGUGCGAAAGCGUGGGGAGCAAACAGG
rnacentral:rRNA from 1 species